AUUGAACGCUGGCGGCAGGCUUAACACAUGCAAGUCGAGCGGGGUGAUGGUGCUUGCACUAUCACUUAGCGGCGGACGGGUGAGUAAUGCUUAGGAAUCUGCCUAUUAGUGGGGGACAACAUCUCGAAAGGGAUGCUAAUACCGCAUACGUCCUACGGGAGAAAGCAGGGGAUCACUUGUGACCUUGCGCUAAUAGAUGAGCCUAAGUCGGAUUAGCUAGUUGGUGGGGUAAAGGCCUACCAAGGCGACGAUCUGUAGCGGGUCUGAGAGGAUGAGCCGCCACACUGGGACUGAGACACGCCCCAGACUCCUACGGGGGGCAGCAGUGGGGAAUAUUGGACAAUGGGGGGAACCCUAAUCCAGCCAUGCCGCGUGUGUGAAGAAGGCCUUAUGGUUGUAAAGCACUUUAAGCGAGGAGGAGGCUCUUUUGGUUAAUACCCAAGAUGAGUGGACGUUACUCGCAGAAUAAGCACCGGCUAACUCUGUGCCAGCCGCCGCCGUAA
rnacentral:rRNA from 1 species